UUCAGUGCUGCAGCUAACGCAUUAAGCAUUCCGCCUGGGGAGUACGGCCGCAAGGCUGAAACUCAAAGGAAUUGACGGGGGCCCGCACAAGCGGUGGAGCAUGUGGUUUAAUUCGAAGCUACGCGAAGAACCUUACCAGGUCUUGACAUACUAUGCAAAUCUAAGAGAUUAGACGUUCCCUUCGGGGACAUGGAUACAGGUGGUGCAUGGUUGUCGUCAGCUCGUGUCGUGAGAUGUUGGGUUAAGUCCCGCAACGAGCGCAACCCUUAUUAUCAGUUGCCAGCAUUAAGUUGGGCACUCUGGUGAGACUGCCGGUGACAAACCGGAGGAAGGUGGGGAUGACGUCAAAUCAUCAUGCCCCUUAUGACCUGGGCUACACACGUGCUACAAUGGAUGGUACAACGAGUUGCGAACUCGCGAGAGUAAGCUAAUCUCUUAAAGCCAUUCUCAGUUCGGAUUGUAGGCUGCAACUCGCCUACAUGAAGUCGGAAUCGCUAGUAAUCGCGGAUCAGCAUGCCGCGGUGAAUACGUUCCCGGGCCUUGUACACACCGCCCGUCACACCAUGAGAGUUUGUAACACCCAAAGUCGGUGGGGUAACCUUUUAGGAACCAGCCGCCUAAGGUGGGACAGAUGAUUAGGGUGAAGUCGU
rnacentral:rRNA from 1 species